AGCGAACGCUGGCGGCAGGCCUAACACAUGCAAGUCGAACGAACCCUUCGGGGUUAGUGGCGGACGGGUGAGUAACACGUGGGAACGUACCUUUAGGUUCGGAACAACACAGGGAAACUUGUGCUAAUGCCGAAUGUGCCCUUCGGGGGAAAGAUUUAUCGCCUUUAGAGCGGCCCGCGUCUGAUUAGCUUGUUGGUGAGGUAAAGGCUCACCAAGGCUUCGAUCAGUAGCCGGUCUGAGAGGAUGAUCAGCCACACUGGGACUGAGACACGGCCCAGACUCCUACGGGAGGCAGCAGUGGGGAAUCUUGCGCAAUGGGCGAAAGCCUGACGCAGCCAUGCCGCGUGAAUGAUGAAGGUCUUAGGAUUGUAAAAUUCUUUCACCGGGGAAGAUAAAUGACGGUACCCGGAGAAGAAGCCCCGGCUAACUUCGUGCCAGCAGCCGCGGUAAU
rnacentral:rRNA from 1 species